AGCGGUUAAACUUUGCCAGGUGGGGUGAGCAGGGCCCUGCUGCUCGGGAAAGGAUCCGUGUCCCCAGCUCCUGGCUGUCACCUGCCCAACCGCCUGUCUGCUGGCGCCAGGAAGACCAGGCAGGUGCGCCCUGCCCCGCCCAGCUCACCGGCUGGGGUCUCUCCCCUUGCAUCGGUUUGCAAGAGGAGUAUGUUGUGCUGCGCAGUUUAGAACGGUCCAGUAAGCCCAGUGAGGCGCAGGACCAGGACUAGAACACCUUCCCUCGGAUUCUAGCGUGGUGUGUGUGCACGUGUGUGUGCGCGCGCUCAGCAUCUGUAAUGGCAGCACACGCACAAAACGAGGACUGGCAGCCUAGGUGCACAGUUUGGUGACCACUCAUGACAUGGACACCCGCAUGGAACCAGCACCCUGGUCCAAGACGGAACAUUCCAGACCCCGCGUUCCCUGCCCCCACUACCCGCCUCCCAAGGGUAGUCACGUCGCUGACCCCCUCCCUCCUCGCAAAGCCGAGCCUUGUCUGUCGUUGAAUCUGACACAACCAGCACACAGCAGGUGCGCACGGCAGGCGCCGCUCCAGAACCUUCGAUGCGGAGCCGUUCUGUGUGCGGCGUCUCCCGGGCAGCACCGUGCGGUGCAGAGCCGCGGUUCGCUCUCUGUCCAGGCUGCGUGGUGCUCCCUGGGCUGGACAUCCCGUGACCAAGCGGCCCAUCCAGCGGUGGCCUGCGGGAGCCUUGCGCGUGCGCCGCCCGCCGUGAGCUGCUCCUACGCGGGGUGGCAAGGACCCAGGCACUGAAGCCAUCACCUGCAGUCUCCCAGGAUGUGUUGGCAGGAAGCUGGAUCAGAACCAGAGCAGCCAGGACUCAGCCAGUGCUCUGAUACGGGAGGCCGGCAUUGCAAGUGGUGGCUUAGCCUGCUGUGCCCAUCGCCAGCCCCAUGGGCGCUGUUUCUCGGCCCCACUGCUGGGCAUCUGCUGGGCUCCACUGAUGAUGUGUUUUUGGCUCCCUCUCCUGCCAUGCCCCGUGGGCGUCCCAUGGCGGCACCGCUCCCGUGACUGGUGCAUAACAGUGAGUCCUGAAGCGGCGACGCCCUGCCUCCGGUUUUGUUGUCCUUUCAGAGGGUGCUGCUGCUGUGGGUUUUUGCCUCUGCACAUAAACCUUGCAAUCAGUUUGUGGAUAAUCUCAAAGAAUGUUCUGGAAUUUUGAUUGGGGCUGCAUUGAGUCUCUAGUCAAGUCGGGAAGAAUCAACAUCUUGACAAUAUUGAGUCUCUUCUGCACACGAACAUGACAAAGCUUUCCAUUUGAUUCAUAUUUAAAAAGAUUUAUUUUUUAUUUAUUUGAAAGGAAGACAGACAGACAGACAGACACACACACACACAGAUCUUCCAUCCUCUGGUGCACUCCACAAAUGGCCACAACAGCCAGGUCUGGGCCGGGAGGAAGCCAGGAACCUGGAACUCCAGCCUGGUCUUCCACAUGGGUGCAGGAUCCCAAGUGCUUGGGCUACGCUCCACUGCCUUCCCGGGGGCAUUAGCAGGGAGCUGGAUCAGAAGUGGAGCAGCCGGGACUCGAACCGGCACUGCCAUCUCAAGUGACGGCUUAGCUGCUGAGCCACAGCCCGGCCACUUUUCCGUUCUUCGAUCUCUUUCACCAGUUUCGUAGUUUUCCUCACUUAGAUCUUGCGGGAUUUUGUUGGAUUUACCCCCAAGAAUUUCGCUAUUUGGGGUGCGAGUGUAAAUGGCAUUGCCUUUGGCUCCCUGUUCCACCUUCCACUGCUGCUCUGUUUCUUUUUAUCGCUGCUCCCCACUCCACUCCACUCCCCACUCCUGAGCCUGGGUCUCCACCGACCGCCACAUCCGGGCUAUUUAUUUUCCACCCGUGUCUGGGCAAAGUCUUCUGCAUCCCAGAACCCCCAGCACAGGUUCUGAGCUUUACCUUCCUGAAGGCAGGAGAACACACAGUGGUUCUUUCCUCCUCCUCCCCCGUCUUCUGUUCGGUUACAGUUUUAUUGAGCUGAGCCUCGUGUAUCUGACUGUUCGCCCACUGAGAACGUGCCCCUCUGUGGGUUUUAGUCUAGUCCCAGAAUCGUGCGACCAACACCACAAUCCAUCCUUAGGGCACCCGUCGCCCCCUCCUCCCCCAUAAAGCCUGCCCCCAUCCAGUCCGUCGCUCAUGGCUCCCAGCUCGAGCUGUGACCAGGCCGGGACUGGGCUUGGGCCACUCAGCGCCCCUGGCUGCUGCACAGUGGAGAUAUGAGCAGCAGGUUGUGGGGAUGUGGCCACGAUGUCCACUCUCUGCCCCUCCCCUACCCCACAAUGCUGGCAGCCUCCUGAAGUGCACCUGACACGGGCCUUGCCCGCCUUCCCAAACUCUUGUGUUAAACUUUGUUUAGUUAAGUGGGUGGCAGGGGCCCAAACACCUGGGCCAUCUUCUGCUUUCCCAGGAAAUGGGGCAGCCGGGACUGGAACCAGUACCUGUAUGGGAUGCCGGCACUGCAGGCAGUGGCUUUACCCGCUACGCCACAACACCAGCCCCAAGAUAAGUGUUUUAAAUCCUAAACUUUGGAUUCUGCUGCUCCGCUUCUGGCCCAGCUCCCUGCUAGUAGCCUGGGAAAAGCAGCAGAAGACGGCCCACGUCCUUGGGCCCCUGCACCCGCGUGGGGGACCCGGAGGAAGCUCCUGGCUCCUGGCUCUGGCCUGGCCCAGCCCUGACCGUUGCAGCCAUUUGGAGAGUGAAUCAACGGAUGGAAGAUCUGCCCCUCUGUAACUCUUUCAGUUAAAUAGGAGCCCCACAAAACACUUGCUGUCCCUCGCCCCACUUUCACAGAACGCACCCCUGCCCGGAGUCCUCUUCCUUUAGAAGUUAUCUAUUUAUUUGCCUGACGGACAGCAAGCUCUUCUGUCCACUGGUUCACUUCCCCGAUGGCAGACGACAGCUGGGCCGACAGGGCCGGACCCGGGAGCCAGCAGCUCCAUCCCGGUCUCGGACGACAGCUGGGCCGACAGGGCCGGACCCGGGAGCCAGCAGCUCCAUCCCGGUCUCGGACGACAGCUGGGCCGACAGGGCCGGACCCGGAGCCAGCAGCUCCAUCCCGGUCUCGGACGACAGCUGGGCCGAUAGGGCCGGACCCGGGAGCCAGCAGCUCCAUCCCGGUCUCCCACCAGGUA